ACAAAUAUUAUUUCAUUUGAUCACAGAACAACCUUGCAAAGUAGGUAGUAUUAUCAACCCCAUUUGACAGAUGAGGAAACUGGGGCAAAGAGAGAUGAAGGGAUUGGCCCAGGCUCACACAACUAGUAAGUGCUUAUGACUAGAUUUGAACUCAGGUCUUCCUGACUCUGGGUUUGAUGCUCUAUCUCCUAGAAGAGUGGAAGUACCCAAGUUACAAAUCAAUUUUUAUAAAAUAACCCAUUGGCAAUCAGAAGGCAGCUUGACAUCAUUUUUCUUUUCUUUUAUGCAGAAUUUUCAAACAAAUUGACUCUAAAGGCUUAAAGAGUUAAAGAAGACUUAAAAAAAAAAAACAACCAACCAUGCAAACCAGUGACCAUGUUUCCUGGAUCUAUUUCAGUGCCCUUCCUGGACAUCUGCAGCUUAUCGAUGUCGUAGUUGAAGUGU
rnacentral:lncRNA from 1 species